rnacentral:lncRNA from 1 species
AUGGAGCCCUCGGCCAAUCAGCUCUCAGCCCUGGACAGCUCAGCCUCAAUUGUGACCUUGGCCCGAGCCUCCGCGGGGGCAGCAGCAGGCUGGCCCAAUCCGUCCUCGGGAAGCUCCUUAGGGAGUGUCACCGGGGACCUCCGUGCCCCGAGCCCCGGGGCUCCCUCAGGGAACACACACAGCCCAGUUAGCCUCUCUGCAAAAGGCAAAAAGCACGUCCCUCCAGAGCCCAGGAGCUCCGCCCCUGCACCUCUCCGCCGGCCCUCCGGCCCGCCUGCACCCCCCACGCCGCCCCCAGGCCCCACACUCGGGCCCCACGUCCUCCCUCGGGGACUCCCGGGCACUCCCUCCCAUCUGACCUGGCUUCCUGCCCGUCCUCUCCCCAGAGGGCCUUUCUCCUACUUCCCCCCUCCCUCCUCCCCCGCCUUCGGGGACUCUCGGGGGCCGACGUGUCCCGGGGGGUCCCCGCGUGCUGGGGGGCUGCACUGGCAGCUUUCCCGAACCACAAAGAGCCUCCUGGAAGGCCCUGGCCCGAGACACCGGCCCGGCCUGUCUUUCCCAGAACGCUCCAGCGCGCUUGGGCAGCAGCCUCUGCUCCAGCCCUCCAGACGGAGGGUGGUGCCUCAUCUCAGCGCUGGGGCGGCCCCGGGCCCCUCAGCCAUGCCGGGGGCGCCCAGGAGCCCAGAGGGACUCCGGGGACUCCGAGGCCUCUGUGGGCACUGUGGCCCAGCUCCCCCGCCCAGCUUUCUCUGCUCUCCUGGGCAGAGGCUGUCCGAAGGCUCCUUCAGGAGAGGGGGAGACCUGGGAGCGGGGCGGGGGUCGAGGCCAGGAGCCCCUGCCUUGGGCUGCCGCCCCUUUCCCUCCCCUCAGGACCAGAGCCUUCUUCGGCCUUCCCUGGUCUGCCUGAGCCCCCAGCACAGAGGGCUGCCCUGGGCCACAGAGGACGGGUCUUCGAGCCCUGCCUCAGCCCCUUCCUCCCCGGUCCAGAGGCCUCCCCUCUCUGGGCCUCUGUUUCCUCAGCUAUAA